UACGGAGGGUGCAAGCGUUAUCCGGAUUUACUGGGUUUAAAGGGUGCGUAGGUGGGUAAGUAAGUCAGUGGUGAAAUCUUCGAGCUUAACUCGGAAACUGCCAUUGAUACUAUUUAUCUUGAAUACUUUGGAGGUAAGCGGAAUAUGUCAUGUAGCGGUGAAAUGCUUAGAUAUGACAUAGAACACCAAUUGCGAAGGCAGCUACUACACAGUUAUUGACACUGAGGCACGAAAGCGUGGGGAUCAAACAGG
rnacentral:rRNA from 1 species